UGUCCACGAGAGACUCCACACUGGAC
rnacentral:piRNA from 1 species